rnacentral:siRNA from 1 species
AGCGUUUUGAACGACUGGUUGAGC